rnacentral:misc_RNA from 1 species
AGAUCGUGGAGAGGGGUGAUAAAGACAAAGACCACAAGGAAGAUGAAGGUGAAGGGAAGGGUGGAUUCCUUGACAAAGUGAAAGAUUUCAUUCACGAUAUUGGGGAAAAAAUUGAAGAAACGAUCGGUUUUGGAAAGCCAACGGCUGAUGUCAGUGGGAUUCAUAUUCCAUCGAUCAAUCUAGAGAAGGCUGAGAUUGUUGUUGAUGUUCUGAUUAAAAACCCUAAUCCUGUUCCUAUUCCCCUAGUUGACAUUGACUAUUUGAUAGAGAGUGAUGGCAGGAAACUGAUCUCUGGGCUGAUUCCUGAUGCUGGAACAAUUCAUGCUCAUGGAGAGGAGACUGUCAAAAUUCCUGUGAAGUUGGUUUAUGAUGAUAUAAGGAACACAUAUCAUGACAUUAAGCCUGGCAGUAUCAUUCCAUACAGGAUCAAGGUUGAUCUGAUUGUGGAUGUGCCUGUUCUUGGGAGGCUGACAUUGCCACUUGAGAAAACUGGAGAGAUCCCUAUUCCUUACAAGCCCGAUGUCUAUAUUGAGAAGAUACAGUUCCAGAGAUUUUCAUUUGAAGAAACUGUUGCCAUUCUCCAUUUGAAAUUGGAAAAUAAAAAUGACUUUGAGUUGGGAUUGAAGGACCUAGAUUGUGAAGUCUGGCUCUCUGAUGUUAGUAUUGGACAUGCAGAUCUCUCCGAAUUUACACCCAUUGAUAAGAAUGGGAUCAGUUACGUUGACUUACCCAUCACCUUCAGGCCAAAGGACUUCGGUUCGGCACUUUGGGAUAUGAUUAGAGGAAGAGGCACUGGCUACACUAUAAAAGGGAAUAUUCAUGUUGACACACCUUUCGGUAAGAUGAAGUUGCCCAUUGUUAAAGAGGGCGGCACUACUCGCCUCAAGAAGAAUAAGGAAGAUGGCGUUGACGACGAUGACGAGGAGUAAACGAAAGGGCAUCAUCUGGAGGAAUAGUGGUUGGUUUUCUUCUUUCUUAUAAAAAGAAGAUGAUGCUGUUACAUAGAUGUGUUAAGGAAUUGUUUGGCUGAAUCUUUUGUUACUUAAUUGUCAUGGUCGCUGUGUAAGAGACUCCUCCUUUUGUUUUUUAACUACUUAGUUUUGGCACUGACUUUGGAUGGUGAAUUUGUUGUUUUUGGAAGAGAAUGUUGAAAUAUA